rnacentral:rRNA from 1 species
AGAUCGCAGGCUGCAACCCGCCUGCGUGAAGUUGGAAUCGCUAGUAAUCGCGGAUCAGCAUGCCGCGGUGAAUACGUUCCCGGGCCUUGUACACACCGCCCGUCACACCAUGAGAGUCGGGAACACCCGAAGUCCGUAGCCUAACCGCAAGGGGGGCGCGGCCGAAGGUGGGUUUGGUAAUUGGGGUGAAGUCGUAACAAGGUACC